UGAUUUUCUCGAUUCAAUUAGUACUUUAUAGUUCGUUAAAAUUUUGGUUAGUUCAACCGACUGCACAUCCCUAAUGAUCUCAUCAAAAUGGUGUCCUAGAAAACCUCUUGAACAGCGACAUAACAGGAACAAUUUAAUUACUACCAAUUUUACAGUAUUUUGGAAAAUUUUGCAGACAAGUCAGUGAUUGCACUCAAUGCUUGAAUUUGCACCAAUGAGGUUGCAACACCCAGACUGUUAGCGCCAAGGAACAAACUGCCUUCAAAGAAAUUCAUAGCCAAUUGCAACAGAAGUGGGAUGAUAUUCGUAGCCAUCAAUCAAGACAUUCUACUUUAAAUGGAAAAUUGGCCUAAAUUGCCCAUGUUCCAUUGCCUCUUCUAGCUGGCAACAUGUCCAAGUCAAGAACUAUCCUUUUGAACUUGCCUAUCUUACUGGAAUAUUAGUUCUUAAAGAUAUGGUCAGUUAACAAGGUAUCUGAUGUUACUAAAUUUUCUUUACUCUUAUUCUACACCUAAUUUUAUUCAAAUUACAUUUCAUAUAUUCUCACCCUGUUUA
rnacentral:misc_RNA from 1 species